UGGGGAAUAUUGUACAAUGGGCGGAAGCCUGAUGCAGCGACGCCGCGUGGGGGAUGAAGGCCUUCGGGUUGUAAACUCCUUUCGACAGGGACGAAGCCUUUGUGACGGUACCUGUAUAAGAAGCACCGGCUAACUACGUGCCGGCAGCCGCGGUAAUACGUAGGGUGCGAGCGUUGUCCGGAAUUACUGGGCGUAAAGAGCUCGUAGGUGGUUUGUCGCGUCGUCUGUGAAAUUCCGGGGCUUAACUCCGGGCGUGCAGGCGAUACGGGCUGACUUGAGUGCUGUAGGGGAGACUGGAAUUCCUGGUGUAGCGGUGAAAUGCGCAGAUAUCAGGAGGAACACCGAUGGCGAAGGCAGGUCUCUGGGCAGUAACUGACGCUGAGGAGCGAAAGCAUGGGUAGCGAACAGGAUUAGAUACCCUGGUAGUCCAUGCCGUAAACGGUGGGCGCUAGGUGUAGGGGGCUUCCACGUCUUCUGUGCCGUAGCUAACGCAUUAAGCGCCCCGCCUGGGGAGUACGGCCGCAAGGCUA
rnacentral:rRNA from 1 species